GACGAACGCUGGCGGCGUGCUUAACACAUGCAAGUCGAGCGGAAAGGCCACUUCGGUGGUACUCGAGCGGCGAACGGGUGAGUAACACGUGAGUAAUCUGCCCCUGGCUUUGGGAUAGCCACCGGAAACGGUGAUUAAUACCGGAUACGACCACUUCUCGCAUGGGAUGGUGGUGGAAAGUUUUUUCGGCCAGGGAUGUGCUCGCGGCCUAUCAGCUUGAUGGUGAGGUAAUGGCUCACCAUGGCUUCGACGGGUAGCCGGCCGGAGAGGGUGCGCGGUCUCGCUGGGACUGGACCACUGGCCAGACUCCUACGGGAGGCAGCGGUGGGGAAUAUUGGGCAAUGGGCGGAAGCCUGAUCCAGCAACGCCGCGUGAGGGAUGACGGCCUUCGGGUUGUAAACCUCUUUCAGCAGGGACGAAGCGCAAGUGACGGUACCUGCAGAAGAAGCACCGGCCAACUACGUGCCAGCCGCCGCCGUAA
rnacentral:rRNA from 1 species